UCCUUGGUAGUCCAAUGGUUAGGACGUUGUGCUUCCAAAGCAGAGGGCCAAGGUUCAAGCCCUGGUCGGGGAA